CAUGCGAUAUAGAUGUUUUCAAUGGCGAAUUCCUUUCCUGGCCUAAAUUUACGUAUCUGUUUUCUGCAGUAUACAUCAAUAACAGUCGUCUUAGUAACAUUGAAAAAUGGUGUUAUUUACUUAAGAAAACUAGUGGGGAAGCAAAAUACAUAAUUUCGAAGUUUCCGCUGAUACACAAAAGUUUCGCUUUAGCGUGACAGGCCUUAAAAGAAACAUAUGACUAUGUCCGAAUCUUAGUUAACAACCAAUUGAAAUUGCUCUUUGAUCUUCCAGUUCUCGAUAAUGAGUCCAGCGCUGGUUUAAAAAAUCUACAACGAGCAAUUAAUGGAUGUAUUUCGGCUAUGGCGAUCUAUGAUGUUUCUACGAACGACUGGGAUCCCAUAUUCAUAUGCAUUCAAAGAUUGCCUAAGCAUGUGGCCUCGCUUUGGGAACAGACGGUCAAAGACAAGUCGGCUUUGUCUGAUUGGAAGUAUUUGGAUCGUUUUCUUACGGAAAGGAUCCAGACCCUUACUUAUCUCCGAGACAUUCGUGGUAUUGAGUCAUCAAAAAAGGUUGAGAAAAAAGUGCGGACUCACUUAACAAAGUCCGCAUCUUCUGGGUCUUCUAGUGCUUCUUAAUUUAAAUCUUGCGUUCUCUGUCCUAAAUUGGUCCACCCAUUGCGUUUUUGUCCAGAGUUCAAAAAAUUAUCCAUAGAAGGUCGUUUUUCAGUGCUCAAACGCUUCAAUUGUUGUCUGAACUGUCUGACGGUUGGUCAUGAAGUUAAAAAAUGUAUUAGUAAACACAAUUGUGGAAAAUGCAAUAAGCGACAUCACACACUUUUACAUCGUGAGAUGUCAAAUCACGCAAAUUCUACACCAGCAGCGACUCCGUCGCUAUCAACUUCGAACCAAUCCAACAAUGCGAAUCAAAAUAUUCCCUCGAAUUCGUUAGGUAUAUCCCACUCUGUCAAUAGGCAAGUGUAUCAUAUUUCGCAAAACAAAAAUGUUGUUUUGGAUACUGCAAUGGUGAAUCUAAUUCACCAAGGCAUCACAUACCCUGCUCGUGCCCUAAUCGACCCAGCUUCUGAAGCGUCUUUCAUCACUGAAAAUUAGCAACAUCGUCUUGGUAUUUCUACUAAGUCGACCCAAGCUACGAUUUCUGGCAUUAAUCAAAGUAUUUCCACUACAUCCAGGAAAUUGUGCUCAUUAUGCAUAGAUUCUCCUAUCGAUUCAUCAAUUUUCUUUGAAAUCCCAGCUCUAAUGGUUCCCGCUAUUUCUGGUAAUUUACCCUCUAUUUCAAUAGGUGGUGACAUAAUUUCCCGUUUGCCAAAUAUUCGUUUUGCAGAUAGAAACUCCUGCGAUUCUAGACCAGUUGACCUUCUACUAGGCGCUGAUUUAUAUCCUAGAAUCCUUUUACAGGGAAUUAAAUCAAACAUCUUAGGUUCUUUAAUGGCCAAAGAACUGUUUUCGGCUGGAUCAUUACUGGUCCCAUUCCCAAUUCUACCAUUACGGUUUUAACAACCACAAUUAACUUUCCGGAAGAAGAUCUUAACAAGACUCUUCUUCGAUUUUGGGAAUUGGAAGAACCUCUAAACGCGCUAUUUUGUCUCCUUCGGACAAAUUCUGUGAGAUAAAUUUCCAAAAAAAACUCGACGAGACUCAAAAGGCAGAUAUAUUGUCACAAUUCCCAUAAUUCCUGAAUUCGCAGGCCAACCGGUCAUUCUAGGACCAAUUGCUUGCGACAAUUCUUUCGAGUGAGGCUUUACUCCUAAAAAAACCGCAAAUUAAAACCAUUUGCGAUGGGGUGGUCCGGGAAUAUUUUGAAUUAGACCACGUGAGACUGGUUUGGACUUCGUCAGCAAGCUCUACAGUUUGCUAUCUUCCUCACCAUCCGACUAUUGAUCCGGAUAAACAAACAACAAAAAUGGGAGUGAUUUUAAAUACCUCGAACAAGACUUCCAACGGGAAUAGUCUUAAAGAUAUUCUCUAUGUCGGACCAACUUUUCAGUUGGACCUAGUCCUUCUUAUUCUAAGGUGGAAACUUUUCCAAUUUGUAUUCAAUUGCGACAUAACGCAAAUGUACAGCAGAUUCGGGUCGAUCCUGCUCAUAUUCCUCUCCAACGAAUUUUAUUUCGGGAUUCUCCCAACAAACCAGUUCAAGACUUUAAACUUCAAACGGUAACCUUCGGAGUAAACUGUGCUCCUUAUCUUGCGAUUCGGACUUUACUUCAAUUGGCCGAUGAUACAGAAAAUGAAUUUCCGCUAGCUGCACAUAUCCUUCGGAAGUGCAUGUACGUAGAUGACGUCUUGGCCGGUUAUCACGACAGCGCAAAAAUCAAUAGACCAACUCAUUGGUGCUCUUUCUUCCGCGAAGUUUGAAAUUUUAGAUUGUCUUCCUUUAGAUCACCUAUAUGAUGUUAAGCUUCUCACUUCCGUGGAAGCUAGUAGUUCAAGACCGCUGGGCAUUCGCUGGAAUGCAGUUGGACCAUUUCUAUUUCAGUGUAAACCCGCUGGAACACCGGUUCACAUAUACUAAACGGGAAGUUUUGUCAACCACCGCCAUGCUUCUCGAUCCAGUAGGAUGGUUGUAGCAAAAAUCAUCAUGCAGCGUAUUUGGCUAGACAACAUCGGUUGGGACGAUUCGCUUCCGUCUUCGACAGAACGUGAAUGGGAAAAAUUUUCCUAUCAAGGUGUUAAUUCCAUAUCCAUUCCUCGUUGGGUCCAAUAUUCACCUCUUUGUCAUGUCGAACUUCAUGUCUUUUCCGAUGCCUUGAAAAAGGCAUACACGGGGGUAGCGUACAUUCGUGUCGUUGCUUCAAAUAGGAAAAUUUAGAUGUUGUAAAAUUACAAAGGGGUAUGUCUGUGUCUUCGUGUGCUUUUCUACGAAAGCAAUACAUUUAGAGCUAGCCUCGGAUUUAUCUACCACUACCUUCCUGGCUGCAUUUAAUAUAUUUAUAUCUCGUCGUGGAUGUCCAAAGACUAUCUUCUCGGGAAUUUAAUUUCAUUAAAUGAAAUUCGUGAUAAACUCCGAUCAAAGUUUUCUUAUCAAGAGCUCCGAUCAAAGUUUUCUUAUCAAGAGCAGCUGGAGCUCCACAUACGGGUGGACUUUGGGAAGCUGCGGUUAGAAGCUUUAAAACUCAUUUUAGGAAAAUGGCUAAAAAAUUGAAAUAUACGUUUGAAGAAUUUUCUACGUUGCUAACAAGAAUUGAGGCAUGCUUAAAUUCUCGCCCACUCUGUCCCAUGACUGAUAGUCUUGAAAUUAGGUCGCGUUGUCCAAGUUUAUCCGGUCGCUUCGCUGAUAUAAAAACGGAAAACGGUAUCGUAAGACGGUCAUUUUGACCGACGAAGAUUAAAAUGUUCAUCUCUCUACCAUGCCAUCUCCACUUUUUUUCUCAGAUGGAAAAUUUGAGUCAGAUGGCCGCUUCCCUUCCUUACUACGAUGAGGACAUCCCAAUGUCGGAUGAAGAGAGAGGUGUUGAGGAUGCCAUUAUUCCUUUGGGCUUCCAGGACUCCGAUAUACGCGGGGUCAGCAAUGCUGCGGCUCCUCUUCAGGAACCUGCAACGGCACUACCAGCCAACUCACCCGGCUCUACGGCCGAUCAAACAGGCUCCGCUUCUCCUCUACGGGAAAAUUGCACUGCAGAUUCUGCGCCAAAUAAGGGAUUUUCGUCCGAACCGGCAGGAGUUACCCCUCAGGUGCUCCUAGCCUCAACCAGUUGCCUUUCGACAACAGGCGCUGACACUGCUGCUCCCCUACGGGAGAUUGCACCAGCGAGGUCUGCAUCUCCUCAAGACUCUGCCUGGAUCGUUGGCACGGCGUCUCCUCUACGGGAGCUUGCACCCGUCGUCCACGAACUUUCAACGACAGAUGUGGCUACCACAUCUCCUCUACGGGAGACUAAAACUUCCGCCGAAACUCCUCAAUUCAAAGGCACAGUGGCCAGAUCCAUUCGACAAGAGGGACCUAAUGUGUUUUAUGCACACAGAGGCGCGUCCUUCGGGAAUGUUCCGAGUUUCUAAAAUUGACCUGCGAAAAAAGGAUACAAUUUGUGGUACCGGAGAAUUUCUGCACCAAUUGUUUAGGCAGGUCACAUACCCUCCGAAAAUCUUUGCGACCACCAUACACUUCUUCACCUCGGCAAAAAGCCCCUGUCCUGUAAAAUUUUUAGCGUGCUGUAAUUCGAGUUUUUUUUUUAUUAUUUUGACUUCUUAUUUGACCACUAAAGAACUAGGAAUGUAGCAACGUUUUUGGAAACAUUCUAUCUCAUUCUAGAGUGAAAUAAAAUCAAUGCAUAUACAUUAAUUUUGAUAAGUGGUUGCCUAUGUUGUAAAGUGUUGUUUAAUUUUCCCUCACUGAAAAUCCUCCAGGCGCAAGCAGAAUCUUCAUCACCUUCAUUUACCGUUCGACCAUUUAUUGCUCGAAUGAUAACUUGACAUAUUUUCCCAUAUUGACUUAACCUUUGACUGGUGAGGUGACAUAUUUUGUAACGUGGACUAAAUUUUACAAAAAAAAACUGAGAGCUGAGGGAACCUUAGAAACCUCUCUCAACUCUAACGACGUAAAACAAUACUCGUGAAAGUAAAGGGAACUUUAUAAACACCUCUUUACUUACAGAGAACACACAACCUCCACAGAUGUUAGAGUUAAGGUAACGUUAAAAACCCCACUCAAUUCGAUCGCUUACACAAUACUCUUAGAAAUAAAGGGAACAAGGGAAACCCCUCUUUACUUACGAGAAAACACAAACACUUCACGAAUGUUAGAAUUAGGGGAACGUUACAAACCCCACUUAACUCUAACUACAAACAGCCUAUUCCACGAUAUGGAAAGAACAUUUCCGUUCCACAAAAAUGCAUCAGAACGAAAAAUUGUACGAAAAUCAAACCGAACGAAAACGUAAGCAUUUUAGUGGAAUUUUGUGUCCACUAUCUUUUUACUUUCGCAUGCACGCGAAUGCAAAUGUCAAAAUCAGCCACUUGCUUGUUUGCUGUCGUAUGAUUACAAUUCAGGAUUUUUUUUCAACAUAAAUAUUGCUUGAUUGAAAAUGGAAACAAAAAGUCCCGAAAUAUCAUCUACAGUACAGCUGCGGGCACUAGUUGAAUAUAUGGAGGAGAAUCCUGAGAUCGUCAGAGUAGUGCCAACUUUUGGAAGCAACAAGCAAUCCCUUGAAGACCACUGGAAAAAAUUAUGUUUCAAAUUAAAUACCAUGGGUUAUCCUCGUCGCACAAUUGCAGAGUGGAAAAAGAUCUAUUAUGACUCAUGCUUUUGUUCCAGCGGAAGACAGGAUAAAAUUGGGUAUAACGGACUCUUUGAUUCGCUUGUCAGUUGGUUUGGAAGAAGUUGAAGAUCUAAUUGAAGAUCUUAGCAAUGCAUUGAACGCUGCUGAAAAGGCAUAAAUCUCUUUCAAAAUGAAGAACAUGUAAAAAUAUUGUAUGGAAAUUUACUCGAAAGUCGUAAAAAUAAAUUUUAUACAUAUCUUGGUUUCUUUAUUUCAUUGUUUUCACUUGGUCGUUUUUAAGCCCCAUUUAAAUGUAUGUACGCUUGUUCGAAUCAGUGACAUAGCUCGCAGCAGAAUUUAAUUAAGAAAAAGGCUGUAAAAUUUUUAACGUGCUGUAAUUCGAGUUUUCCGGCACACGUUUGUCUGAAUUUGUAUUAUUUUGACUUCUUAUUUGACCACUAAAGGAUCUAGGCAUGUAGCAACGUUUUUGGAAGUUUUCUAUCUCAUUCUACAGCGAAAUAAAAUCAAUGUAUAUACAUUAUUUUUGAUACGUGGUUGCCUAUGUUGUAAAGUUUUGUCGAAUUUUCCCUCAGGAAACCACCAGAGAUCAUUGCUACUCCGUUUUGGAAUACACCAGCUUGUUAAAUGCGAAGGUAUGGAAUUUGGUUUACUGAGAGAUGGAUUUCCUUUCAUUUUCGUCAAUCUUUGGUUUGUUAUGCAUCUCGGAAAUGGACGAUACCGAUUUUUGAGAAAAGAAUCAAGGGUUCCCUUUUUGGAAUAGCUGUUUUGUCAGUUAAACCUUGCUCCCAUAGCGUCAGCAUUGAGUUUGGAAGACGAUUGCAUCCAAAGAAUACAAAUAUUAUGUGUUUCACUUUUAGCGUUAAAUGGAACAAGGCCCAACUGGAGUGACUAUGGAAUUUUUGAUAUAUAAGGUCGUAAAUAUGUCUCGGAAUGUUAGCAUGUAAAAUCAGUUAAAGACUACGAUGCCGCAUAUAACUUGAGCUAUGUUUAGGACAGGAAAGACUUAGCUUCUUUGGAAGCCAUAUUGACUAAACCUUUGACCUUUGUCACGUGUACGAAAUUGUACAAAAAAACUGUUAACAUUUUUUUAUAAUUAUUUGUAGUAUAUUUUAAAUUACAAUAAGCAAAAAUCAGAUUAGAAUAGAAGAGAGAAUUACAAAAAAAUGUGAAGGGAGGGUAAAAUUUACCACCACCGUUGUUAGGAGACGUUAGAGGAAUAUUGCCAUCGCUUACACCAGCAUUAAAUACUACUAGGUGAUUAGCCUUAUGACUGAAGGAAUCUAACGACAUAAUUUUUAAGGAAUCAUAAGGAAUAGUGAAACAGCAAAGGGUUUCUACGCAUUUCUUUGUUAAGGAAAUGAAUCGAGUUAAUAUCGAAUAUACUUUUUUUAAAUUCGAAAACAUGAAAAUAUCGGUGAGAUUCUAAAAAAAACUGAAAAUAUAUAAUUAUUUCCUCAAAAAGGAGACGAAAUUUUGGGAAAAUACCAAGAAAAAUGUACUUUUGGCAAUAUUUUCUCCUACAUGAACACAUUAUUUGACCUUAGUAAUUUUUUUUUCAUUUAUAGACUUCCAAUUUUAUGCAUGAACUACGGAAAUUUUCGGAAACCGUUGCUCAAAAAGAAAAAUUGUGUACAUGUAAUUUGAUGAUGUUUGAUUUCGUAUUAUUAUUUAUUUAGACUCUUUUUUUACUCGUUUGGUUGCUGUUCAUAACCGGUUCCAGUUUGUCUAUCAACAUGCGACGACGAGUUUUCUCAAAUUCGGGGAUAUUUUCUUUUAUAGUACGAUAUACUUGAUUUGAUCAUUUAUACAGUUUACAUUAUUCUAUUUGCAUCACUUGGUGAAUUGUAAAAAACAAAAACACAAAUAAAUGGUGAAUCGCAUUGCCACAAUAUGAUGGUUGGGAAUGAAAUGUAGGCGGCGCUGAUCGAUCAAUGGCAAUGACAUUGUCAGCGUUUACAAUACAGGGCGCUUCCUAUGUACUCUUCCAAAAUACGCGCGACAUGUUAUGGUGGAGGGAACGUUAGAAACCCCACUCUACUUCAACACCGUGACACAAUACACUAUAUAAUAAAGGGAACGUUGGAAACCAAACUCCUCUUCUUUGUGGUCUUGACUCACGAAUCUUGCUCAUCGUUUCCAAGGUCUUGUACUUUUCCCGUCAGAUCGAGCUGAAAUUUCGUAAGAUAUGUAAUAAGGUCUCUUUGUCUCAAUACUCGCAACAUUUUUUUUUAUUUUUAAUCUUCGCUUUUCUGUUUUUUAAUCACUAAAUAGAUUUAGUUGAAGGGUUUCCACUUUUGCACACUUUGAUUGUUUUUAGAUUAUACACUUUUUCUCUCCAUUUAUAUCGCAUUGGCACAUUAUGAUGGUUGAUGAUGACAUUAGGCGGCGCUGAACGAUCGUUGGCUAUGACAUUGACAGCGUUUACGAUACAGGGCGCCAUCUAUAAACGCUUCCAAAAUACACUUGACACGUUAUGGUGGAGUGAACAUUAGAAAGCCCACUCCACGUCAACACUGUGACACAAUACUCUGUAUAGGAAAGCACGUUGGAAACAACACGUUACUUACUUAAUAACAACAAACUUAACAUAUUUAAGAGCUGAGGGAACCUUAGAAACCUUUCUCAACUCUAACGACGUAAAACAAUACUCGUGAAAGUAAAGGAAACUUUAUAAACACCUCUUUACUUACAAGAGAACACACAACCUCCACAGAUGUUAGAGUUAAGGGAACGUUAAAAACCCCACACAAUUCGAUCGCUUACACAAUACUCUUAGAAAUAAAGGGAACGAGGGAAACCCCUCUUUACUUACGAGAAAACACAAACACUUCACGAAUGUUAGAAUUAGGGGAACGUUACAAACCCCACUUAACUCUAACUACAAACAGCCUAUUCCACGAUAUGGAAAGAACAUUUCCGUUCCACAAAAAUGCAUCAGAACGAAAAAUUGUACGAAAAUCAAACCGAACGAAAACGUAAGCAUUUUAGUGCAAUUUUGUGUCCACUAUAUUUUUACGCAUGCACGCGAAUGCAAAUGUCAAAAUCAGCCACUUGUGUGUUUGCUGUCGUAUGAUUACAAUUCAGGAUUUUCUUUCAACAUAAAUAUUGCUUGAUUGAAAAUGGAAACAAAAAGCACGAAAAUAUCAUCAACUGUACAGCUGCGGGCACUAGUUGAAUAUAUGUAGGAGAAUCCUGCUAUCGCCAGAGGAGUGCCAACUUUUGGAAGCAACAAGCAAUCCCUUGAAGACCACUGAAAAAAUUUAUGUUUCAAAUUAUAUACCAUGAGUUCUCCUCCUCGCACAAUUGAAGAGUGGAAAAAGUUCCGCACAAAAAAGAAAAUACCUGAACACAAAAAAGGGUUGCAAGGAUAAGGUGGCGGUUUAUACCAAUUUGAGUGUUUGACGGAGCUAGAAACAAAAUUGACCGGACACUUUUUUUAUCGAAGUCAGCGGCACCAAGCGGUAAGACUUUUGGCUAUGCAGACGACAUCGACUACUGCUUUGUGGCAUUGGUUACAACACCAUCAGGACGUUCCAAGACCGUAGCAGUUAAGUGAAUAAAGUUUUCACCAUUUAUCGCCAGAAACACAUGUCCAACAACAGUAACAAAUAAACGUACAAACCUGCACCAUCACAACUAAACAAUACCAAUCAUAGUUAAUAGAUGAAACAAAUUUUUAAUUAUACAUUUUUAUUUUAAUAAAAAAUCAGUAAAUUUUACAAAUUUAUUGCAAUUUUUAUUUAUUCGAAGCAUCUUUUAAAUGCUUCCAUGGUACAUUUUGAACCUCCUUCACAUCAUCCAUAAAGUAUAGUGCUACAGAAAUAUUCAUUUUUUAAGAACACAAAUAAUUCAAGCACUAUCACCGCGAAUAUUAUUUUGUUUGUUUAUUUACAAUUUGUUUGUUUACAACCGAACUGUCAGUUCUCCUAUUCUGAACGGCAUCCUAUUCUCUUACCUUAUCAUAGAUUAGAUCAUAUAGAUUCCCUCCAUGGAUGAAACCAAUUAAUGUUUCGUAUGCUUCGCAUGGAAUACUGGAUUCCUCGCGCUACUUCACUGAUUAGGUCAACCAUAAGACAUUGCAAAUUGUGUGUUUUAGCAAAGAAACGUACUUGUACCCAAAUUAUGGCAUCUAUGCCUCCAGAAAGAACGGUUUUGUUUAGGCCUUUCACCUCUACAGGUAUCGAUUUCGCUGGCCCAUUCGACAUUAAAAUCCUUUACAGGUAGAUGUUGUAAAAUUACAAAGGGGUAUGUCUGUGUCUUCGUGUGCUUUUCUACGAAAGCAAUACAUUUAGAGCUAGCCUCGGAUUUAUCUACCACUACCUUCCUGGCUGCAUUUAAUAUAUUUAUAUCUCGUCGUGGAUGUCCAAAGACUAUCUUCUCGGGAAUUUAAUUUCAUUAAAUGAAAUUCGUGAUAAACUCCGAUCAAAGUUUUCUUAUCAAGAGCUUUCAUGGAGAUUUAACCCAGCUGGAGCUCCACAUACGGGUGGACUUUGGGAAGCUGCGGUUAGAAGCUUUAAAACUCAUUUUAGGAAAAUGGCUAAAAAAUUGAAAUAUACGUUUGAAGAAUUUUCUACGUUGCUAACAAGAAUUGAGGCAUGCUUAAAUUGUCGCCCACUCUGUCCCAUGACUGAUAGUCUUGAAAUUAGGUCGCGUUGUCCAAGUUUAUCCGGUCGCUUCGCUGAUAUAAAAACGGAAAACGGUAUCGUAAGACGGUCAUUUUGACCGACGAAGAUUAAAAUGUUUAUCUCUCUACCAUGCCAUCUCCACUUUUUUUCUCAGAUGGAAAAUUUGAGUCAGAUGGCCGCUUCCCUUCCUUACUACGAUGAGGACAUCCCAAUGUCGGAUGAAGAGAGAGGUGUUGAGGAUGCCAUUAUUCCUUUGGGCUUCCAGGACUACGAUAUACGCGGGGUCAGCAAUGCUGCGGCUCCUCUUCAGGAACCUGCAACGGCACUACCAGCCAACUCACCCGGCUCUACGGCCGAUCAAACAGGCUCCGCUUCUCCUCUACGGGAAAAUUGCACUGCAAAUUCUGCGCCAAAUAAGGGAUUUUCGUCCGAACCGGCAGGAGUUACCCCUCAGGUGCUCCUAGCCUCAACCAGUUGCCUUUGCUCCCCUACGGGAGAUUGCACCAGCGAGGUCUGCAUUUCCUCAAGACUCUGCCUGGACCGUUGGCACGGCGUCUCCUCUACGGGAGCUUGCACCCGUCGUCCUCGAACUUUCAACGACAGAUGUGGCUACCACAUCUCCUCUACGGGAGACUAAAACUUCCGCCGAAACUCCUCAAUUCAAAGGCACAGUGGCCAGAUCCAUUCGACAAGAGGGACCUAAUGUGUUUUAUGCACACAGAGGCGCGUCCUUCGGGAAUGUUCCGAGUUUCUAAAAUUGACCUGCGAAAAAAGGAUACAAUUUGUGGUACCGGAGAGUUUCUGCACCAAUUGUUUAGGCAGGUCACAUACCCUCCGAAAAUCUUUGCGACCACCAUACACUUCUUCACCUCGGCAAAAAGCCCCUGUCCUGUAAAAUUUUUAGCGUGCUGUAAUUCGAGUUUUUUUUAUUAUUUUGACUUCUUAUUUGACCACUAAAGAACUAGGAAUGUAGCAACGUUUUUGGAAACAUUCUAUCUCAUUCUAGAGUGAAAUAAAAUCAAUGCAUAUACAUUAAUUUUGAUAAGUGGUUGCCUAUGUUGUAAAGUGUUGUUUAAUUUUCCCUCACUGAAAAUCCUCCAGGCGCAAGCAGAAUCUUCAUCACCUUCAUUUACCGUUCGACCAUUUAUUGCUCGAAUGAUAACUUGACAUAUUUUCCCAUAUUGACUUAACCUUUGACUGGUGAGGUGACAUAUUUUGUAACGUGGACUAAAUUUUACAAAAAAAAACUGAGAGCUGAGGGAACCUUAGAAACCUCUCUCAACUCUAACGACGUAAAACAAUACUCGUGAAAGUAAAGGGAACUUUAUAAACACCUCUUUACUUACAGAGAACACACAACCUCCACAGAUGUUAGAGUUAAGGUAACGUUAAAAACCCCACUCAAUUCGAUCGCUUACACAAUACUCUUAGAAAUAAAGGGAACAAGGGAAACCCCUCUUUACUUACGAGAAAACACAAACACUUCACGAAUGUUAGAAUUAGGGGAACGUUACAAACCCCACUUAACUCUAACUACAAACAGCCUAUUCCACGAUAUGGAAAGAACAUUUCCGUUCCACAAAAAUGCAUCAGAACGAAAAAUUGUACGAAAAUCAAACCGAACGAAAACGUAAGCAUUUUAGUGGAAUUUUGUGUCCACUAUCUUUUUACUUUCGCAUGCACGCGAAUGCAAAUGUCAAAAUCAGCCACUUGCUUGUUUGCUGUCGUAUGAUUACAAUUCAGGAUUUUUUUUCAACAUAAAUAUUGCUUGAUUGAAAAUGGAAACAAAAAGUCCCGAAAUAUCAUCUACAGUACAGCUGCGGGCACUAGUUGAAUAUAUGGAGGAGAAUCCUGAGAUCGUCAGAGUAGUGCCAACUUUUGGAAGCAACAAGCAAUCCCUUGAAGACCACUGGAAAAAAUUAUGUUUCAAAUUAAAUACCAUGGGUUCUUCUCGUCGCACAAUUGCAGAGUGGAAAAAGAUCUAUUAUGACUCAUGCUUUUGUUCCAGCGGAAGACAGGAUAAAAUUGGGUAUAACGGACUCUUUGAUUCGCUUGUCAGUUGGUUUGGAAGAAGUUGAAGAUCUAAUUGAAGAUCUUAGCAAUGCAUUGAACGCUGCUGAAAAGGCAUAAAUCUCUUUCAAAAUGAAGAACAUGUAAAAAUAUUGUAUGGAAAUUUACUCGAAAGUCGUAAAAAUAAAUUUUAUACAUAUCUUGGUUUCUUUAUUUCAUUGUUUUCACUUGGUCGUUUUUAAGCCCCAUUUAAAUGUAUGUACGCUUGUUCGAAUCAGUGACAUAGCUCGCAGCAGAAUUUAAUUAAGAAAAAGGCUGUAAAAUUUUUAACGUGCUGUAAUUCGAGUUUUCCGGCACACGUUUGUCUGAAUUUGUAUUAUUUUGACUUCUUAUUUGACCACUAAAGGAUCUAGGCAUGUAGCAACGUUUUUGGAAGUUUUCUAUCUCAUUCUACAGCGAAAUAAAAUCAAUGUAUAUACAUUAUUUUUGAUACGUGGUUGCCUAUGUUGUAAAGUUUUGUCGAAUUUUCCCUCAGGAAACCACCAGAGAUCAUUGCUACUCCGUUUUGGAAUACACCAGCUUGUUAAAUGCGAAGGUAUGGAAUUUGGUUUACUGAGAGAUGGAUUUCCUUUCAUUUUCGUCAAUCUUUGGUUUGUUAUGCAUCUCGGAAAUGGACGAUACCGAUUUUUGAGAAAAGAAUCAAGGGUUCCCUUUUUGGAAUAGCUGUUUUGUCAGUUAAACCUUGCUCCCAUAGCGUCAGCAUUGAGUUUGGAAGACGAUUGCAUCCAAAGAAUACAAAUAUUAUGUGUUUCACUUUUAGCGUUAAAUGGAACAAGGCCCAACUGGAGUGACUAUGGAAUUUUUGAUAUAUAAGGUCGUAAAUAUGUCUCGGAAUGUUAGCAUGUAAAAUCAGUUAAAGACUACGAUGCCGCAUAUAACUUGAGCUAUGUUUAGGACAGGAAAGACUUAGCUUCUUUGGAAGCCAUAUUGACUAAACCUUUGACUGGUGAGGUGACAUAUUUUGUAACGUGUACUAAAUUGUACAAAAAAACUGUUAACAUUUUUUUAUAAUUAUUUGUAGUAUAUUUUAAAUUACAAUAAGCAAAAAUCAGAUUAGAAUAGAAGAGAGAAUUACAAAAAAAUGUGAAGGGAGGGUAAAAUUUACCACCACCGUUGUUAGGAGACGUUAGAGGAAUAUUGCCAUCGCUUACACCAGCAUUAAAUACUACUAGGUGAUUAGUCUUAUGACUGAAGGAAUCUAACGACAUAAUUUUUAAGGAAUCAUAAGGAAUAGUGAAACAGCAAAGGGUUUCUACGCAUUUCUUUGUUAAGGAAAUGAAUCGAGUUAAUAUCGAAUAUACUUUUUUUAAAUUCGAAAACAUGAAAAUAUCGGUGAGAUUCUAAAAAAACUGAAAAUAUAUAAUUAUUUCCUCAAAAAGGAGACGAAAUUUUGGGAAAAUACCAAGAAAAAUGUACUUUUGGCAAUAUUUUCUCCUACAUGAACACAUUAUUUGACCUCAGUAAAUUUUUUUUUCAUUUAUAGACUUCCAAUUUUAUGCAUGAACUACGGAAAUUUUCGGAAACCUUUGCUCAAAAAGAAAAAUUGUGUACAUGUAACUUGAUGAUGUUUGAUUUCGUAUUAUUAUUUAUUUAGACUCUUUUUUUACUCGUUUGGUUGCUGUUCAUAACCGGUUCCAGUUUGUCUAUCAACAUGCGACGACGAGUUUUCUCAAAUUCGGGGAUAUUUUCUUUUAUAGUACGAUAUACUUGAUUUGAUCAUUUAUACAGUUUACAUUAUUCUAUUUGCAUCACUUGGUGAAUUGUAAAAAACAAAAACACAAAUAAAUGGUGAAUCGCAUUGCCACAAUAUGAUGGUUGGGAAUGAAAUGUAGGCGGCGCUGAUCGAUCAAUGGCAAUGACAUUGUCAGCGUUUACAAUACAGGGCGCUUCCUAUGUACUCUUCCAAAAUACGCGCGACAUGUUAUGGUGGAGGGAACGUUAGAAACCCCACUCUACUUCAACACCGUGACACAAUACACUAUAUAAUAAAGGGAACGUUGGAAACCAAACUCCCCUUCUUUGUGGUCUUGACUCACGAAUCUUGCUCAUCGUUUCCAAGGUCUUGUACUUUUCCCGUCAGAUCGAGCUGAAAUUUCGUAAGAUAUGUAAUAAGGUCUUUUUGUCUCAAUACUCGCAACAUUUUUUUAUUUUUAAUCUUCGCUUUUCUGUUUUUUAAUCACUAAAUAGAUUUAGUUGAAGGGUUUCCACUUUUGCACACUUUGAUUGUUUUUAGAUUAUACACUUUUUCUCUCCAUUUAUAUCGCAUUGGCACAUUAUGAUGGUUGAUGAUGACAUUAGGCGGCGCUGAACGAUCGUUGGCUAUGACAUUGACAGCGUUUACGAUACAGGGCGCCAUCUAUAAACGCUUCCAAAAUACACUUGACACGUUAUGGUGGAGUGAACAUUAGAGAGCCCACUCCACGUCAACACUGUGACACAAUACUCUGUAUAGGAAAGCACGUUGGAAACAACACGUUACUUACUUAAUAACAACAAACUUAACAUAUUUAAGAGCUGAGGGAACCUUUGAAACCUUUCUCAACUCUAACGACGUAAAACAAUACUCGUGAAAGUAAAGGAAACUUUAUAAACACCUCUUUACUUACAAGAGAACACACAACCUCCACAGAUGUUAGAGUUAAGGGAACGUUAAAAACCCCACACAAUUCGAUCGCUUACACAAUACUCUUAGAAAUAAAGGGAACGAGGGAAACCCCUCUUUACUUACGAGAAAACACAAACACUUCACGAAUGUUAGAAUUAGGGGAACGUUACAAACCCCACUUAACUCUAACUACAAACAGCCUAUUCCACGAUAUGGAAAGAACAUUUCCGUUCCACAAAAAUGCAUCAGAACGAAAAAUUGUACGAAAAUCAAACCGAACGAAAACGUAAGCAUUUUAGUGCAAUUUUGUGUCCACUAUCUUUUUACGCAUGCACGCGAAUGCAAAUGUCAAAAUCAGCCACUUGUGUGUUUGCUGUCGUAUGAUUACAAUUCAGGAUUUUCUUUCAACAUAAAUAUUGCUUGAUUGAAAAUGGAAACAAAAAGCACGAAAAUAUCAUCAACUGUACAGCUGCGGGCACUAGUUGAAUAUAUGUAGGAGAAUCCUGCUAUCGCCAGAGGGGUGCCAACUUUUGGAAGCAACAAGCAAUCCCUUGAAGACCACUGAAAAAAAUUAUGUUUCAAAUUAUAUACCAUGGGUUCUCCUCCUCGCACAGUUGAAGAGUGGAAAAAGGUAAGUCAGAAAACGCGGUUUAAUCUAUUUGUCUAACCGGCAUUAUUAUUUACGGACUUGGGUGGAUCUAAAGUUCCGCACAAAAAAGAAAAUACCUGAACACAAAAAAGGGUUGCAAGGAUAAGGUAGCGGUUUAUACCAAUUUGAGUGUUUGACGGAGCUAGAAACAAAAUUAACCGGACACUUUUCUUAUCGAAGUCAGCGGCACCAAGCGGUAAAAUUUUUGGCUAUGCAGACGACAUCGACUACUGCUUUGUGGCAUUGGUUACAACACCAUCAGGACGUUCCAAGACCGUAGCAGUUAAGUGAAGAAAGUUUUCACCAUUUAUCGCCAGAAACACAUGUCCAACAACAGUAACAAAUAAACGUACAAACCUGCACCAUCACAACUAAACAAUACCAAUCAUAGUUAAUAGAUGAAACAAUUUUUUAGUUAUACAUUUUUAUUUUAAUAAAAAAUCAGUAAAUUUUACAAA